UGGGGAAUAUUGGACAAUGGGCGCAAGCCUGAUCCAGCAAUGCCGCGUGUGUGAAGAAGGCCUUCGGGUUGUAAAGCACUUUUAUCAGGAGCGAAACGCUGUCGGCUAAUACCCGGCGGAACUGACGGUACCUGAGGAAUAAGCACCGGCUAACUUCGUGCCAGCAGCCGCGGUAAUACGAAGGGUGCAAGCGUUAAUCGGAAUUACUGGGCGUAAAGCGUGCGUAGGCGGUUUCUUAAGUCUGCUGUGAAAUCCCCGGGCUCAACCUGGGAAUGGCAGUGGAUACUGGGAGGCUAGAGUGUGUCAGAGGGUGGUGGAAUUCCCGGUGUAGCGGUGAAAUGCGUAGAGAUCGGGAGGAACAUCAGUGGCGAAGGCGGCCACCUGGGACAACACUGACGCUGAGGCACGAAAGCGUGGGGAGCAAACAGGAUUAGAUACCCUGGUAGUCCACGCCCUAAAGCGAUGCGAACUGGAUGUUGGUCUCAACUCGGAGAUCAGUGUCGAGGCUAACGCGUUAAGUUCGCCGCCUGGGGAGUACGGU
rnacentral:rRNA from 1 species